GGGGUCAGUAGGUUGGUCGUGCCACCGGUACGUACUGGUCUCACUGAUUCCUCCUUCCUGAAGAACCGUAAUGCCAUUAAUUUGGUGUUGCGGGGAAACAGGACUGUUACUUUGAAAAAAUUAGAGCGUUUAAAGCAAGCUAACGCUUGAAUACAUUAGCAUGGAAUAAUGAAAUAGGACGAUCGAUCCUAUUUUGUUGGUUUCUAGGAUUGACGUA
rnacentral:rRNA from 1 species